UACGAAGGGGGCUAGCGUUGCUCGGAAUUACUGGGCGUAAAGCGCACGUAGGCGGGCUAUUAAGUCGGGGGUGAAAUCCUGGAGCUCAACUCCAGAACUGCCUUCGAAACUGAUAGUCUUGAGUUCGGGAGAGGUGAGUGGAACUGCGAGUGUAGAGGUGAAAUUCGUAGAUAUUCGCAAGAACACCAGUGGCGAAGGCGGCUCACUGGCCCGGUACUGACACUGAGGUGCGAAAGCGUGGGGAGCAAACAGG
rnacentral:rRNA from 1 species